rnacentral:rRNA from 1 species
CCUACGGUGGGCUGUAGUGAGGAAUAUUGGUCAAUGGCCGAGAGGCUGAACCAGCCAAGUCGCGUGAGGGAAGAAUGUCCUAUGGAUUGUAAACCUCUUUUGUCAGGGAGCAAAGUCACCCACGUGUGGGUGUUGGAGAGUACCUGAAGAAAAAGCAUCGGCUAACUCCGUGCCAGCAGCCGCGGUAAUACGGAGGAUGCGAGCGUUAUCCGGAUUUAUUGGGUUUAAAGGGUGCGUAGGCGGGUUAUCAAGUCAGCGGUAAAAUCGUGGAGCUCAACUCCAUCCAGCCGUUGAAACUGAUGAUCUUGAGAGGGCGAGAAGUAUGCGGAAUGCGUGGUGUAGCGGUGAAAUGCAUAGAUAUCACGCAGAACUCCGAUUGCGAAGGCGACCUGCUAGAACAUAACUGACGCUGAUGCGCGAAAGCGUGGGGAGCAAACAGGAUUAGAUACCCGAGUAGUC